GCCGCUGGGCCCGCGGCGGCCGGAGGGCUCCUUUCCCAGCCCCUCCCUCCUGGGGGAAUCGGACUCGCUUCCCAGGAGGGAUGCCCGCUCCGCGGCCCUGCGACUUAAUGGACCGCGGCGCUCCUUCCUCUGUGUCUGUAAACAAAAGCCGGAGGCUUGGCCCAGACGUGGGUAGUUUGGUACCCUAAAAUGAUUGCUUCCGAAAUGAAAGAUCUGCUAGCCCAGUAAUUCAGAGUACUUGUGCAUUCCAAAUAAAACCAUCCCAUUCAGUGGACAUGAAUUUGAGCAAACCCAGGAGAGAGUAAAGGACAGAGGAGCCUGGUAUUCUACAGUUCAUGGGUUCGCAAAAAAGUCAGAGACGACUUAGCGACUGAACAACUUCAGCAUCCACUAAUCUCUUAUUACCUGCUUCUACCCAUCCUUGACGUAUGUCAAACGUCUCUACAGUGCAUUCCAAAUAAAACUAACUGACUCAAUGGACAUGAAUUUGAGCAAACUCCUGGAGAGAGUGGAGGACAGAGGAGCCUGAAAUGUUUUUGUAGUUUUCCAGUAGUUGUCAUGUAUGGAUG